GACGAACGCUGGCGGCGUGCCUAAUACAUGCAAGUAGAACGCAGUUGCGAACGGGUGAGUAACGCGUAGGUAACUGCCUAAUAGCGGGGGAUAACUAUUGGAAACGAUAGCUAAUACCGCAUACUGUGGGAUGGACCUGCGUUGUAUUAGCUAGUUGGUGAGGUAAAGGCUCACCAAGGCGACGAUACAUAGCCGAACUGAGAGGGUGAUUGGCCACAAUGGGACUGAGACACGGCACAGACCCCUACUGGAGGCAGCAGUAGGGACACUUCGGCAAUGGACGGAAGUCUGAACGAGCAACGCCGCGUGAGUGAAGAAGGUUUUCGGGUCGUAAAGCUCUGUUUUUAGGGAAGCGGUAACUAACAAGAAAGGGACGGCUAACUACGUGCCAGCAGCCGCGGUAAUUC
rnacentral:rRNA from 1 species